rnacentral:rRNA from 1 species
UACAGAGGCCUCGAGCGUUAGUCGGAAUCACUGGGCUUAAAGCGUGUGUAGGCGGACUUCUAAGUGCCUUGUGAAAUCCCACGGCUCACCCGUGGAACUGCUGGGCAUACUGGGAGUCUUGAGCCACCUAGGGGCGAGCGGAACAAAUGGUGGAGCGGUGAAAUGCGUAGAUAUCAUUUGGAACGCCAACGGAGAAAGCAGCUCGCUGGGGGUGUGCUGACGCUGAGACACGAAAGCCAGGGGAGCGAACGGG